GCGUCUGUGAUGGGCGCAGGGUCUGUGAGGUGCAAAGGCCAUUUAGUGUGUGGCCUUAGUUAAUUUUUUGUUUUCAAUUUUCUGUCUCUCAUGUUAUUGAUCUGUAAAAGGAGCAUAAUCGUAAGUGUCUCUUCUUAUUAGGUUACUUGUGAGGCGUAAGUGAAGUACUAUGUGUUAACUAGUAUCAUGAAACUACAGCCUCACUCUCCGGAGGAAAUAGUGUAAUGAUAGCGCCGUUUACAGGGUGCACCGUAACAGGAGGCAAAAACAGAGGUGGAUACGUGCAGAGAAGUCUUUAGGUGGUCUUGACACUAGAGCUGAAUUUGAAGGAAGUUGAGAACUUGUUAGAUGAAGGGACCUGAGAACAGGAACAAGUGUUCACCAAGACCGGUCUGUGUGAACACACAGAGGCGGAAAUCAUGCCAAAACUUGCAGAGUGGCAGGAAACUCCAUUCAGCUGGAGAAAGCAUACAUAUGGAGGGAGUGAAAGGAGAUAACAGUGGAGAGGUCUGGGCAAAUUUAGGCUGACUUCAAGAAGGCAGGAGUUUCCUGUGAAGAAAAUUGACUGAUACAGAUUUGUGUUUUAGAAAAGUCAGUCUGUCAGCAGCUGGGAAGGUGAAGGGGAGGUGUCACACCAGAUGUAAUAAAAUUGGUUAGUGGGAUUUAGCCAUUGUUUUAAAGAGUGGUGAAGGUAAGGGGAGUGUGGAGAGAGAGAACUUUUUGGAAGUUGGUUAUAUUGAUGGGACAUGUGGAUGUGACUAUGAAGAGACGGAAUCAAAAAUGGGCCAGAAGUCCUAAAUCUGAGCAACCUGUGGCAUGUGCACAUAAAUAUGACCCGGGGACAUGUGGGUGUGAGAGUCUUUAUUUCAGCAAAAUAUACUAAGCUAGAGGUAUAGAUUUUGGAAUCUUCAACAAUUAAUUGGCCAUUGUGGCCAAGUGAAAACAUUAGGAGUCUAAAGAUAGAGCUGUGGCCAACACUCAUAUUUAAAGAAAGGCUUGAGAAGCCCAGUGAUGCAAGAAGUGUCAAGAAAAUAUCACUAUAAAAAUGUUUGAGAAGCAUGGUACUAGUCAUCAGUGUUAAAUGUGCUUCUGGUGAGGGGUUCAGGAAGUUUCCAAUCAUGACGGAAGGUGAAGAAGAGUAGGCAUCACAUAGCAAGAGGGGAUGCAAGACACAGGGAGAGAGAGAAGAGGGAGGCACCAGGAUGCUUUCAGCAAUCAAUGUCAGGAAAACUGAUAGAGCAAGAAGUCACUCAUUGUCACAAGGACGGCACCAAGCCCUUUCUGAGGAAUCUGCCCCAUGACCCAAACACCUCCCACCAGGCCCUACCACCAACACAGGGGAUCACAGUUCAAUGUGCGAUUUGGAGGCAAAACAUAUACAAACUAUACUAGGAAGACAAACUGAUGUGAGGAUGAGGAGGAGUCAGAAAUAAACUCAUUCAACUAAUACUUGAGUAGCUACUGUUGCCUACAGUAUGUUCAAGGUUUUGCUAGUCAUCCAUAUGAUCACUAUUGACAGCUUGGGAGACUCACACAGGCUAGUGAAUUUCAGGAAUUAACAGAAACUGAACAGCUUCUAUAAUCCUGCAGGAAGUAACCUCUGGAUGGCACAAACUAUGUAGAGGAAUGGUCAUUCCUCAACUCCCAUGACUGGGAUUCAAGGAGAGCUGUUCUCAGUCAUCUGCAUGUGUUUGACUUUCCUGAUUGAUGACUGCCUUAUCUCCAUCCCCUGGGAACAGUUCUAAAAUAUGAACUGAAAGUCAGGGGUCAGUGGAUGCUGCGUCUGUGAGACACAACUUCAGAGGUGACUAAACUCUCCCUAGAGCUGCCCUCCUCGAAGAUCUUUGUCCUCGGAAAUUGUCAGGGGAAUCUCAAUUUGGCAGCACCAGAUGUCCCAGAGUCUAGGGAGUCAUCAGGCACUAACUUGGGUUUUUUUAAAGUUUGAAUCACAGUUGAUUCGGAAAAUGAUGGAAAGCUGUCAACUAAAGGAAGGUCUGUCGCUCUUUUUAUUUUUGCAUUGUCUUCAGAGGGAGGCCUUCCUAGAAUCCUGACUAGAAUUAACUAGAUCUGAAAGGAAGGCACGAUUUGAAGAGGAGAGGUUUCUACCUAAGCCUUGAUGACAAGAGUUCUGAGGAUGCUGUGGGCCUGGAGAGAAAACUCAAGCUAAACCAAGUAACUCAGUUUAAAUGUAGUUCAGGAGUGAUUUGCAGUGACAUUGCUUCCUCAUAUCCUGAGUGUGCCAGUUGGGAAGGCAUUCUAGAUUUUUAAAGUAUAUAGCAAAUUUCCAUGACUUUCCAAACAGUCCCAAUUCCCUUUGAGAGAGAAAAACAAACGCUGUUUUGUAUUAGAGUGGUUCUCUACCUAUCUUCACAGCAAAGGGUCUUAGAACCUUAGAAGAUUUGAUAAUAUUUGAAAAAUGGAGUCAGAAAUUUCUAUUGAAGUAUUACUAUAAUUUUGUAGCUCUCUGUGAACCCCACAGGAAAUGGGGAAUUUGUAACACGUAUAACCAGACUAAACAGCCAAGAAGUUUUAGUUUAGACACUGUCCAGGAGAGCUGUUGUGGGGCUUGCAAAGACGAGGGAGAUGCAGACCCUGCCUUGGACUUCCUCCUCUGGGAGAAACAGGAAAGGGCCUGGGGUCCAUGAAAAGGGCCUCACAGGAGCCAGAGGAGGACAUGGACGUGGUCAUAUUGUCUGCAGAGAGUGUUUGGAAGCCGUGAGCAGAUCCUGUGGUUUCAGUAGCUCCCAUUUCCUGGACUAGCAGGGGGAAAAAGAUGAAGAGAUCAAUAAUAGGUUUGAUAAAAGUCCAAAUAUGCCUUAAUAAGAAAUUGUCUCUCAUGGAGUAUACUUCAUUAAAGAAAGAAAUUUAGAAUACCUGCUUUUUUUUUGUUCAGACAAUCAGAUCAAACAGAGAACAUCCACUUUGGUUAGAUUAUGUGCUGUCAUGCAAAGCAAUUUACCAUAGACAUGUACAAAAGAAAAGCUUUUUGUGUGUCUGACAAGAAGUGUAUUAGGCUAUUUUUUUCUUUCAAACAAUGCUUAUUACUUUACUGGUCAUGGUUUAUUGAAACUGUAUUAGGGAUACUGCAAGUGAAAUAGUUCACAAGGUAUGUAGCACUUAGUAAAUAUUCAGGAUGCUUUGAUUUUACUCUAUUAUUGGGAUGAGCUAGAGGAGGGGGCUGGAGAAGGGGAAAUAGGAAAAAGAGAAGAGUGGAAAAGGUCAAGGUUCUUCGUGGCUGUAAAAUAUUUCCUGUGCUGAUCCUUUCCUUCGAGCUGAGAGCUGACCCCUGGCUGUCAUGCGUGGACUGGCAGCCUCUUCACUCUCAGCCUUGAGGCCUCCUCUUGAGAGUCAGAAGCUUCUAAUUCACAAGUCUGAAACACAGGCUUAGGGCUAAUGCACUGAUGGUGCAACUGGCUCCUAGAAAAUAUAUCUAUAAAUUGCAUUUUGUAUAUAAUUACAUAUCAAAUUUGUAACUUCUAACUGCUCACUUUUCAAAAAAAAAAUG
rnacentral:lncRNA from 1 species